rnacentral:rRNA from 1 species
UACAGAGGUCUCAAGCGUUGUUCGGAUUCAUUGGGCGUAAAGGGCGCGUAGGCGGCGGGGUCAGUCGGGUGUGAAAUCUUGGGGCUUAACCCCGAAACGGCACUCGAAACUGCCCGGCUGGAGGGCCGGAGAGGAGAUCGGAAUUCAUGGUGUAGCAGUGAAAUGCGUAGAGAUCAUGAGGAAGACCAGUGGCGAAGGCGGGUCUCUGGACAGUUCCUGACACUGAGGCACGAAGGCCAGGGGAGCAAACGGG